GAUCUGGCUCAGAUUGAACGCUGGCGGCGUGCUUAACACAUGCAAGUCGCGCGUGAAAGGACUUCGGUCCGAGUAAAGCGGCGCACGGGUGAGUAACGCGUGGAUGAUCUACCCAUGAGUUAGGAAUAACGGCUGGAAACGGUCGCUAAUACCAAAUACGCUCCGAUUUCAACUUCGGGGGAAAGGUGGCCUCUGCUUGCAAGCUACUGCUCAUGGAUGAGUCCGCGUCCCAUUAGCUAGUUGGUGGGGUAACGGCCCACCAAGGCGACGAUGGGUAGCCGGUCUGAGAGGAUGACCGGCCACACUGGGACUGGAACACGGCCCAGACUCCUACGGGAGGCAGCAGUGGGGAAUAUUGCGCAAUGGGCGAAAGCCUGACGCAGCGACGCCGCGUGAGGGAUGAAGGUCCUCGGAUCGUAAACCUCUGUCAGGAGGGAAGAACCGCCACGGUGCUAAUCAGCCGUGGUCUGACGGUACCUCCAAAGGAAGCACCGGCUAACUCCGUGCCAGCAGCGGC
rnacentral:rRNA from 1 species